rnacentral:ncRNA from 1 species
GAAAAGACGCAGAAGAGGAGUAUUAAGGGUCCGGUGUCUGAUAAGAGAACUGUCGGUUGGUGCGAGACAGCAGACGAAGACUCCCAACUCACCUCAGAGUCCUUUUGCUGAACGGAUUUACUGAAGAUCACAUAGGCAGAAGCGGGUGCUUCCCGUUAUAGAAGAAAAAUGAGUGCAUCUGGCAGGUAAUGUCGGGUGAAGAAGAGUGGUACCACGGAAUAUAAGCCUUUUUCGUCUCUUAU